GACGGGGGGGGGCAAGUGUUCUUCGGAAUGACUGGGCGUAAAGGGCACGUAGGCGGUGAAUCGGGUUGAAAGUGAAAGUCGCCAAAAAAGUGGCGGAAUGCUCUCGAAACCAAUUCACUUGAGUGAGACAGAGGAGAGUGGAAUUUCGUGUGUAGGGGGUGAAAUCCGUAAAUAUACGAAGGAACGCCAAAAGCGAAGGCAGCUCUCUGGGUCCCUACCCGACGCUGGGGUGCGAAAGCAUGGGGGAG
rnacentral:rRNA from 1 species